CCCAGACUCCUACGGGAGGCAGCAGUGGGGAAUAUUGGACAAUGGGGGGAACCCUGAUGCAGCAACGCCGCGUGAGUGAAGAAGUAUUUCGGUAUGUAAAGCUCUAUCAGCAGGGAAGAGAAUGACGGUACCUGACUAAGAAGCCCCGGCUAACUACGUGCCAGCAGCCGCGGUAAUACGUAGGGGGCAAGCGUUAUCCGGAUUUACUGGGUGUAAAGGGAGCGUAGACGGCAGUGCAAGUCCGGAGUGAAAGCCCGGGGCUCAACCCUGGGACUGCUCUGGAAACUGUAAAGCUGGAGUGCGGGAGGGGCAGGCGGAAUUCCUGGUGUAGCGGUGAAAUGCGUAGAUAUCAGGAGGAACACCGGCGGCGAAGGCGGCCUGCUGGACCGUAACUGACGUUGAGGCUCGAAAGCGUGGGGAGCAAACAGGAUUAGAUACCCUUGUA
rnacentral:rRNA from 1 species